AAUAAGCGGAGGAAAAGAAACCAACAGGGAUUGCCCUAGUAACGGCGAGUGAAGCGGCAACAGCUCAAAUUUGAAAUCUGGCGCAAGCCCGAGUUGUAAUUUGUAGAGGAUGCUUCUAGGUAGCGACCGGUCUAAGUUCCUUGGAACAGGACGUCAUAGAGGGUGAGAAUCCCGUAUGUGACCGGCCCGCACCUUCUACGUAGCUCCUUCGACGAGUCGAGUUGUUUGGGAAUGCAGCUCUAAAUGGGAGGUAAAUUUCUUCUAAAGCUAAAUACCGGCCAGAGACCGAUAGCGCACAAGUAGAGUGAUCGAAAGAUGAAAAGCACUUUGGAAAGAGAGUUAAAAAGCACGUGAAAUUGUUGAAAGGGAAGCGCUCACAACCAGACUUCUGGGCGGUGUUCCGCCGGUCUUCUGACCGGUCUACUCGCCGUCCCGAGGCCAACAUCAUCUGGGACCGCUGGAUAAGACCUCAGGAAUGUAGCUUCCCUCGGGAAGUGUUAUAGCCUGUGGUGAUGCAGCGCGUCUCGGGUGAGGUCCGCGCUUCGGCAAGGAUGUUGGCGUAAUGGUUGUCAGCGGCCCGUCUUGAAACACGGACCAAGGAGUCUAACAUCUAUGCGAGUGUUCGGGUGUCAAACCCCUACGCGUAAUGAAAGUGAACGGAGGUGGGAAGCGUAAGCUGCACCAUCGACCGAUCCUGAUGUCCUCGGAUGGAUUUGAGUAAGAGCAUAGCUGUUGGGACCCGAAAGAUGGUGAACUAUGCCUGAAUAGGGUGAAGCCAGAGGAAACUCUGGUGGAGGCUCGCAGCGGUUCUGACGUGCAAAUCGAUCGUCAAAUUUGGGUAUAGGGGCGAAA
rnacentral:rRNA from 1 species